CCUACGGGAGGCAGCAGUGAGGAAUAUUGGUCAAUGGGCGGAAGCCUGAACCAGCCAAGUAGCGUGCAGGAUGACGGCCCUACGGGUUGUAAACUGCUUUUAUACGGGAAUAACGCGCCUUACGUGUAGGGCUUUGCAUGUACCCUAUGAAUAAGCACCGGCUAAUUCCGUGCCAGCAGCCGCGGUAAUACGGAAGGUCCGGGCGUUAUCCGGAUUUAUUGGGUUUAAAGGGUGCGUAGGCGGCAUGUCAAGUCUGCUGUGAAAUGUCCGGGCUCAACCCGGGCCUUGCAGCGCGAACUGGCGGGCUUGAGUCCGCGGAAAGCAGGCGGAAUUCGUCGUGUAGCGGUGAAAUGCUUAGAUAUGACGAAGAACCCCGAUUGCGAAGGCAGCUUGCUGCAGCGGAACUGACGCUGAUGCUCGAAAGCGUGGGUAUCGAACAGGAUUAGAUACCCCUGUAGUC
rnacentral:rRNA from 1 species